rnacentral:pre_miRNA from 1 species
UGGUUUUUUUCUAACUCAAACCUCUUUAAGUUUGACUACGUAUAUAGAAAAAUACAGCAACAUUUACAACAUAAAAUAAAUAUAUUCAAUUAUUGAUUUAAUGAAACUAAUUUGAUGUUGUGGAUGUUAGUAUAUUUUUUUAUAAAUUUGGUCAAACUUGAAGACAUUUGACUUAAGACGAACCCAA